AAGCCAUCAUCUCCUCUUCAGUUUCAAUAACCCUUCCAUCCCUCGCCAGAAUUUCCUCUUCUUUUCCAAGCGAACCCUAAGCUUCCUUUCCCUUUUGCAAAAGUACACUCCGAAGAGAAACAUGGUGAGCGAUGGUGAAUCAAAGAAAUGCGCAGAUACUAUCAAGUUCCUUUGUAGCUAUGGUGGUAAGAUUCUUCCACGACCCGUUGAUGGAAAGCUUCGUUACGUUGGUGGUCUUACCAGAAUUCUAGCCGUCGAUCGUUCUAUAUCCUUUACAGAGCUGAUGGUUAAGCUUGGAGAAUUUUGUGGAUAUUCUGUGGAAUUGAAGUGUCAGUUGCCGAAUGGAAAUUUGGAGAUGCUAAUUUCUAUCAAAUCCAAUGAGGAAUUGGCGCUUCUUAUUGAAGAAUAUGAUCGAUGCUGUCCUGGUUCGAAGAUUAGAGCCGUUCUCUCUCCUCCGAAGUCUCUCAAAACCGUCUCUCCUCCUCCGUCAACUCCUGCAAGUGUCGAUUUCUG
rnacentral:misc_RNA from 1 species